rnacentral:rRNA from 1 species
CUACGGGUUGCAGCAGGCGCGAAACCUUUACAAUGUACGUAAGUGCGAUAAGGGAACUCCCAGUGCUCAUGUAAUGCAUGGGCUUUUGUUAAGUGUAAAUAGCUUGGCGAAUAAGUGGUGGGUAAGACGGGUGCCAGCCGCCGCGGUAACACCUGCGCCACGAGUGGCAUUCACGUUUACUGGGCCUAAAGCGUUCGUAGCCGGAUAGAUAAGUCUUAAGUGAAAUCGUUGCGCUUAACAAAACGACGUGCUUGAGAUACUGUUUAUCUAGGGACCGGGAGGGGUUAGGGGUAUUCCAGGGGAGCGGUAAAAUGCUGUAAUCUCUGGAGGACCACCUGUGGCGAAGGCGCCUAACUAGAACGGGUCCGACAGUGAGGAACGAAAGCCAGGGGAGCAAAACGGAUUAGAUACCCGGGUAGUC